UCCUAGUGAAGAAACCCAGAAAUUACAAAACAGGCCGAUUAAUUUUGCCAGCCAGAGAUCUCAACAUCACUACAGACCCUACAAUGGUCUAGCUACAUUCGCAAGGCUAGCCACCAGAAGCAAAGAAUUAACAUGUAAAAAGCCACAAUUUACCAAUGUCAGAUUACUGCUGUGGCCCAAGGAAACUAACUGCCCUUGGCCUUCAGAUUUCAUCUGUCAACGGAGGGAAGAGGGAGCUGUGUACCUGAUGUGAUUGUGCUGUGUCUGUUUUCAAGAGCAUGGGCAAGUGCUGGACGUGACCUGACAGGUUGCUACGCUAGAGCCUCAUGGAGGAGGGAACGAGCAAGCCUGUGGCCAGGGGAGCGUGACAUCACGGGGUCUGCUCUGCUGUGACAUCACGGGGUCUUCCCAAUACACUAAGUUCUGAGGGCACAGACUUCUUUUGUCCUCAAAACUUAGCAUGAGAAAAGCCUUCAAAAAAUCCUUAAGUAUUUAUCCUGAAAGUUGAACAUGAACGUAAAUAAACAACUGACCACGGUACUAAAAAUAUUCGUCAACCAGACCUACAGAUGAGGCUGACAGAUGGCUCUAUGGAAUCGUACAAAGAAUGUGAAAUGCCAAGAUUUCUGCACUUUUCCAGGUGCUGACAGCUCAGUGGUCAAUCGCUCUCAGUCCCACUUUCCGUGUUCAGUGUUAGCUCCCACAGUUUUUAUCCGCAAUUCAGAGAUUCCACGUGGCCAGAAGUACGGCCACGGAAGGGAAGACUCCCUGAUGUACACCCCCCCCGCACCGUGUGCAGUAGGACGUCCGUUACUCUAAGCGCAGUAAAAUGGGGAUGAUAAACACCCGUCAGGAGGGGCCCCAUCCCAAGAGCGUCUGACAUACCUCCGCAAAUGCCUUGACAAACCACAAGGCCAACAGUGAGAUGGGGAAGAAACGAGAAAACAUGGCUCAGUGUCACCCCACCUCACCUGUAGAGUUCUCCGCUGCCGAAUUCCCCAGAACACAGAGCAAGGUCUACUCUGAAAUUGCAACAUUCUAAGAAUGGUACUUUCGUAUUGUGGUUUACGUUUUCCAAGCGCGGGCACAAAAUCACUUCUUUUGGUCUCCACAGCAUCGCCGGAAGCCAGGACUGACAGAUGCUAUCAUUCCCAUUUUACAGCAGAGGGAAAGCUCAGGGUUCUGACUGUCCAAAGUCACGGUGUCGGGGACUACGUCAGUGUGGUGUGCGUGAGCGAGAAAUGCGGGGGGACGAGACACGGAGGGGCAGGGAGGUUUUAAACUCCAGGCAGGCAGCCAGGCACUCAGGUGUGUGCAAGAAAACAGCUCCUCUCAGUCUCUAGCAGGGGUGAUGUUCUUUGUGUAGUUUCCUCCCAAGAGGCUGUUAGAUGUAGGAGUUCAUACCACCAUUAUGAGAGCAAAACCCGGCUGAAUCUUAAACGGUGUUGACAUAUUGCGAUUCUAACAUAUAGAAACCAGAGAACUUGGACUCUUGCUUUAAAACGUCCUAAUAGGUAACAUGCGUGGCAUCCGGACAGUUCACAGCAACGGUACUGAUACAACUCCGCCACAGACAGACAAUACGGCUCACUGCACUCCAAGGCACAACGCACUCCGUCCACCACAGAACCACAAAUCACAGCAAAACCAAAUACGACAACACCCCCUCCUGGGCCUCCACUGAGAUUCUCACCUCUACCCCUUCCAUGGCAGGCUGAACCAAAACAAAAAUUACAGCAUGAAAAAAGGCAACAAAAAGGUAAAAAGAACAGAAAAGAAAAGAAAAUAUAAACCGUUCUUCACAAUGCAAGUCAUAAACUGACUUUUAAUAGGGUUGUUCUCACCUCAAACUGACAGAAUGGAGACAAGGAACAUCUCCCGCACUCGGAAAUGCUUUCCUGAGGAUGGGGAGGAAAAUCAUCUUUUUUUUCUAUUUAUGUUAUUUACAUAAAAACUUCCCAUAUACUCAUACACAGUAAGGAUUAUUGGGGGAAACAAGACAGUAAAGACAAUGAUGAAAAAGCACAAUAAUUAACAAAUGCUCAACAGCAAAAAAAGCACACUUUCCACCCUUCAGAUGUCAAAAUAGAGCCCUUCAGAGAGUGUAGAAUGGAGCAUAUCCCUUCCUUAAAUCAAAUUUGAAAAGCAGGAAUUUUGGAACUCUUGCCCAGGGGGAGAAACUGUCAGACCCAGUUGUGUGCAAAUGCACUUAAAUAUCUGUUUCUAUUCAGAGUAAGUUUUCACGUGCAGCGCUGUCAUUAAAGAACUUUUCUUUGUCUUUCCCAGCUGUAGCCAGGAGAGUGCCAGGUGGUUUAGCCCCAUCAGCCGGUCACGGUGACACAGCCCCCACGCCCAGAAGAACGCACAGCUACCUGGGUCACUUUGCCAAGUGAAGCCAUGCAUGCCAACACAGACACAGCUCCACAAGCGGUUGUGAGUUCUCCCCUGGGGGGGUUCGAUGUUCAAAUGGGAAACCUUUCUCCACACGGUGCUAGUGCAAAGCUCUGAUCAUCAGGGUACACCCAGUGUUAUAAAUAGUCAACUAUUUAUAUUUAACAUGUCUUCCGUUAGAGGUUCUCCAUUAUGUAAUUAUUAUUUGGGGAUUCAACCCAAUGGGGACAACCUAUGUUCUGAGAUCCAUUCCCAAUCGUGAACAACAUCCAUAAAAAAUGAUCAGAGUUCAAGAACAGAAAGGUGGCUUGGCCCUGGGCUGAGGUGAGGAAACCGUGGGCACGCUGCAGGUAGACCCCAAACACCAUGGCCUGAGGCCGCACCUGCAGAGCUGGGUGUUCCCAGGCCUGCCAGGAGCACGCUCCCAGGAUGGAUGGUCACCAUGUUUCCCACGGGAGCUGGAGGAUCUCCCGAGGCCCACAGCUCCGCCCCCUGCCCACUGCCCCAUCCAACGAGCCCUCCAAAUGACUUCCGUCAAACUUUAUGGAAUCUUUCUGAUCUAAUGGAAGUAAUUCACCUGCCCCUUAGGUUUUUAAACGUUUAUUCUAGAAUCGUGUGCUUCGGGGAAUUAACAGCCUAUUAUAAAACAAAUAUAAAAAAUUGAGAGCAAAAAUACCUAGCAGAUUGAGAGAUGGGGAGGAAAAACAAUAGAGGCACCCGUACCUACUCCCAAGAGUUUAGGCUUUUAAAACCCACUCUGCUCUCCCCCACCAAGAGUUCCUGAUAUUCCCCUGUGUAUACUGAUAACAAACCUUCAAAGAGGUUAUUAUGGUGGUAUUAACGCUCCUAGAAAGUUUGGAAUCCUGGAUUAGUUUUGCUCAGCUGGCUGUUUAGAAGCAGCAGGAAUCAAGACUUACAUAAACAAAACACCUUGACACAGAAUGGUCAAAACAAAGCAUAAUAAAGCCAAAAAAAAAAAAAAAAUUCAAGUUGGGAUGAAACACAGCAUCCAACAAACAGGCACAGAAUACAGAAAGCCACGUUGAUCACGCCUCUGAAGAGCUCUAGCAUUCCCUCCUUAGGACACUGCCGUACAAUUUCACCAGGUGUAACAGGAACUUAGGGAAAACAUGAUCCUACCGAUAGGACAGUCAUCAACUUAAAAAAUAUUUGAGAAGAAUAUUAACAUAUACAAAUUAGAUUCAAAACAGCAAGAACCGUUAUUUUUAAGAGCAAAGUCUUAGAAUGACUAACGUCAGACAUGUAAAAAUAUUUAACUUAAAGUCAUAAAAAUGUGUUUCGAAGUACUGGCCAUUUGAUUUUUGGCAAAUAGCUGGGGUGGAGGAUUGAGACCCAUAAACAUACACACCAGUACUUAUGUGAUGCUUUACUGCAUUAUCCUUACUGUUUCAAGUCCUAAAAUCUAUACUUAGUUUUACGAGGCAAUGAUGAUGGAAAGCAAUGGAAAACAACAGCUGAGGAAUGCACCACCAUGCAAACAGCAGCUGCCAAGAACAGUCUAGAAAAUACACUUUAAAGCAAGACUAGAAUUAAAAGACUAACAUUUCAAGCUUCCCAGAAUUCUCAUCAAUGAAAAUGUCAUAUUAAAGCGAACAAGAGAUUUUAAAGAAACAUAAAAAGGAAUGUUCAAUCAUCCAGAAAAAUAAAGGCAAAACGUAAUGCUAAUAAAAUAUGGUCAACAGUUCCUAUAGACUAGAUUUCUGACCGGCGUCUUAAUUAAAAGCACUGCUCUGACACUAACACUGGGAACAGCAGUGCCGGGCACAGCUGCCCUGCCCAGAAGCGAAGAAGUCACUCACGUUUCCGUCGCUCCUCUGGCCCCCUUUAUGGGUGAGGACCACCACUUCCAUCCACUUUCGUAGAUGUUGCUGUUGAAAAAAAAAACACAUUCUUAAACAUUUUUGCCUCACACAGGAUCAUUUCAAGGCCUUGCUGUUCUUAGGCGGAAGUUCAUAUGUAACCAUGAAUUUCCGUCAUAUUCAAUGUGAGGACAGCAGCAUUCAUGUUUGAAAUGGCCCAACCACUGAACUGGAGAAGAGAGCAGGUGGCAUUUGCGUCACUUCUAGAAGGCUGAGUUUACGCUGGUAGAGUGGAAAACGUCCCGAAACCCGGCCAUUCUGACAUUGGGAUUUUACUGCUACCCUCUCACUACCACGUCCCUUUGCCCUGAAGCUGUUCAUGAGCACCUCAAGGAGCCAGGCGCCAGGCGAGGCACCCUGUGGAGAAGGAACAAGCGGACAUCAUCCCUCCUUGUUCCGGCUUCAAUUCCGGUGGGGAGAAUAAGAGCUCGAGAAGAGGGAUCCCCGAGCCUGGUGCAACUCUGGCCCGGCCUGGGCGUAUGGCGGCCAGCCUCCCAGCCACAGUGGCCGGCAAAACCUGGCAGCCAACAGGAAUGAAAAGCAUGCAGAGAAAGCAAUCCCGACACAAGCAAAGAUUCCAACCGUGGCUGCGGAGCACCCCCCUCGCUCCCACCUGCUGUGUCAUCCACACCCCAGCCCCUUGCUCAAACGCAGAAAGGCAGACUGCCACGUGCAGCGCCUCAUUUGGAUGUGUCUGGAGUCUUGGAAGCUUGACUACCCUACGUUCUCCUACAAACACAAGUUUUUUGAUUCCACCUUAAAAAAGAUCAAAAAAAAAAAAAAAAACCCAAGGAAAAAUAAGAUAAAAACAGAGAAGGCGGCAAACCGGGACCACGUGAACUGCAGAUAUCAUGGUGGCAGGUACAUCUUCCUCCUUAUUCAGAGCUGCUUCCCCAUGCCUCGGGCCAGUGCUCGACAAUCGUGUGUGCUCUAUAAUUCAGCAUUUCAGUGGUGAUACUUGUUUGCCCCCCCUCCAAGUACAGAAAAGUGCAUAAAGAAAGAAGUUGAAAGUCACUGGGAAUACCAUUAGUCAGAGAUUCCUGUAGCUAUGUUUUAUGUUUCUGGACAUUUUAUCACAAGCCAGUAUAUAUUUAUACGUCUAAUACCUAAAAUACCACAUAUGUGGUUCUACUACUAUUUUCCCCUUCUAUUUACAUCUUAACAAAACAGUACUAACUUUACCGUUUUUUCCUUAAAGAUUCCUACCUAGUAAAAGAUUUAAAACAGCAAAAAAAGGACAGAGAGUAGAAAGCACUUCAAGCCACCACCCUAUUCCACUCCAUCAGUACUACUCUCCUCAUAUAAAACACAUGUGUGCACACACACAUACAGACAACUGUAUCUGUAUCUACAUCUAGACAGAGUGAGUUCCGAACAUGACAUGUACCAGAAUCACCCGGGAAGCUGGGGGAAGCUUGCAGAUGGUAGAUUUGCAGGUCUGACCCCAAACUUCCAGGGAAAGGACUCCAGAGUCUGUAUUUUUCAAAAGAUCCUCACAUGUUUUGAUGCAGCUGGUACACUGAUUAGCACUUGGGAAACCAGACACAUUUCCUGAGAUUUAUCUCCCAGCACUACUUAAGGAUCUGGUCUUAAGCUCGGUGAGGCAUUUUCCACAUGGGUUAAAACACAUCUACCUGGAUCCACCAAAAGGAAACUUCCUCCCAUCCUCUGGUGGCUCUCCUAGAACCUUGGACAGGUCAUAUGAGCAUCGACUCUUACACAAGGGACGCAACAAGGUAUAAAAGAUCAAAGCUAGACCACGUGAUCAUACAAUCCUAUGUCCAAGCAAAUACAUGGGACUUAAAAACUCAAGAGGCAAAUUUUUCAUACCUGGAAAUUCAAACGUAGUGUGGACUGA